ensembl:lncRNA
CGGGAACUCCGGGAAAGGAAAUCAGGGUUUCAUGGAUCGCAGGUGGAUAGAUGAGCGGGGCGAUCGCGGAUUGGGCAGUGUGAAGAGAAGGAGGAGUAUAAAGAGGGCCUCAGAAACUGCAGAGGGGGAGUUUUUUUUAUUCUAGCCGAUACGGCGAGUGAGUUGGAGUGUUUGGGCGAGUGCAGCGGAAAGAAGGCGGAGGAUAUUGUUGGCUGGGUGAAGACGGAGACAAGGGUUUGGCAGAAACAGAAACCGGGCUGAGUAUAUUGGGAUGUCUACCUAACUGUGAAAUGCUCUAUGGACAUGUGUAACAAAUUCUGAGUGGUUGAAAACAGGAAGACUCACCGGAAGUAUCGCCGAAGGAGGCCCUUUCGACAGGUCACGUGGCAGCAGGAGAAGUAUCCAGGAGCUGGAAAGAAGAGGGAAAAGAGACCUUGUGUUAGUAACGGUGUGAGUACCCUAAACCAUCGUACAGCAGCAUAAUCAUCUAGAGUGAACUAUCUGUGAGCCUUUUUGUGAGUUUGUGGCAUAGUAUGUGAGUGGCCCCACUGUGGAGGAGGAUUGUGGGUGAGCCGGGACCAGUGAGCGAGAGAAGACGUUGGGGUGUCGUGGCGGCGACGUUUAAAUCUGAAUAUUCGUUGCAUCAGUGUCUCCACGAUUUCCAGGACGAGUCUUUGGUCAGACGGGGUUUUGACCCUAAAUUCACCAAGAGUGUGUGGAGUGCAGUGGGUGAGUCUUUGUCCUUUGCUGUGAGUGUAUACACUUGAAACUUUCAGUGUUGUGCUGUGUUUGUGUCGUCAACAACCACCUUUCAGGCCCGACGAAAUCCUUGAAGGAAGUGAGUACUGAGGCGGGCGAAGAAAACAUCUCCAAUUAUAUGCCGUCGAUGACAUCCUGACCCUUCUUCCCCACGUGGCGGGAAACAAUUUCAAGUAAGAACAGUGUGGAUAUAGUGGGAAGUAUUAACGGUGAGGAGUUACUCAGCGGUGCGUGUAUUAUUACCUGCUGUGGAGUUCUUCAAAGGUUCGCCCCGUCUAGAUCUCUUGCUCUGUCGGUUGGAAGAAAGAAGAGGGAAGCGUUCGACCCAUUCAGUGUAGCACACCCCGGGUGAAACAACUUACCUGUGUGUGACACCAGCGGAGGCCGUGUUCGGCCCAACGCAGCAGCAGCUUUCGAUCCGCAUGUCUAUCAGCAGUUGGUUGAAGCCUCAGAAAAGGAACGCCUGACGUCGAUUUCCUCAAAGAUCUAGCGGGUCCCUUUGAAGCGUCUACCUGCACGUCGACCCGUCACUCAGGAUACAGAAACCGCGGAAACCCCCCCCCCCCGUACACUUACCAGUACGGUUUCAGUUGGAUCCCGGCAGCCAUUGUGCAGCUCCACCAGCAUCUGGACGACCGGGAGUCCAACCCGCUGGGCCGCCUCGGAGUUCGCCACGAGUAGCAGCAGGUAUCCAUCGUGCAUUCAAACUCUCAAUACUUACCACUUGUAUCUGUUACGUCCAGGAAAGGAGAGGGCCCUGGACAGUCGUCCUGCAAGCCAGAACAAAGGGGCACUUGUGAAUAAGCUGAUUGUCGUCACAUAGCCAGAAGGAAAGAGGAGUGAAGGACUCACCUGAGAUCUCCCGCGACGGAGUCUAAGAGACUCGGACUCACCUGAGAUCUCCCGCGACGGAGUCUAAGAGACUCGGACUCACCUGAGAUCUCCCGCGACGGAGUCUAAGAGACUCGAGACUGUUACUCUCCAAUUGGAGAGUUGGAUUUUAGCCUCCCUUCCCCCCUGCCCC